UACAGAGGGUGCGAGCGUUAAUCGGAAUUACUGGGCGUAAAGCGCGCGUAGGCGGCUUUGCAAGUCGGGUGUGAAAUCCCCAGGCUUAACCUGGGAACUGCAUUCGAGACUGCAUUGCUAGAGUAUGGGAGAGGGAAGUGGAAUUUCCGGUGUAGCGGUGAAAUGCGUAGAUAUCGGAAGGAACACCAGUGGCGAAAGCGGCUUCCUGGUCCAGCAUCGACGUUCAGGCACGAAAGCGUGGGGAGCAAACAGG
rnacentral:rRNA from 1 species